rnacentral:rRNA from 1 species
UACGAAGGGGGCUAGCGUUGCUCGGAAUCACUGGGCGUAAAGCGCACGUAGGCGGAUUGUUAAGUCAGGGGUGAAAUCCUGGAGCUCAACUCCAGAACUGCCUUUGAUACUGAGGAUCUUGAGUACGGGAGAGGUGAGUGGAACUGCGAGUGUAGAGGUGAAAUUCGUAGAUAUUCGCAAGAACACCAGUGGCGAAGGCGGCUCACUGGCCCGUAACUGACGCUGAGGCACGAAAGCGUGGGGAGCAAACAGG